AUACGUAGGGGGCGAGCGUUGUCCGGAAUGAUUGGGCGUAAAGGGCGCGUAGGCGGCCCGGUAAGUCUGGAGUGAAAGUCCUGUUUUUAAGAUGGGAAUUGCUUUGGAUACUGUCGGGCUUGAGUGCAGGAGAGGUAAGUGGAAUUCCCAGUGUAGCGGUGAAAUGCGUAGAGAUUGGGAGGAACACCAGUGGCGAAGGCGGCGUACUGGACUGUAACUGACGCUGAUGCGCGAAAGUGUGGGGAGCAAACAGGAUUAGAUACCCUGGUAGUCCACACCGUAAACGAUGAAUGCUAGGUGUAGGGGGUAUCGACCCCUUCUGUGCCGCAGUCAACACAAUAAGCAUUCCGCCUGGGGAGUACGGCCGCAAGGUUGAAACUUAAAGGAAUUGACGGGG
rnacentral:rRNA from 1 species